UAUAUGUACAUUAAUAUAUACAUAUAUUUUCCUGUAUGUUAACGUCCAGUGUCUAAUGCAGUAGAAUCCUUUCUCAGUUAUUUGAAUCACCUCUGCUGUCUUUCUGUUCUCUGUGUCUCUGUGUGUGGUUCUCCAGCAGAACCGGUGGAUUCGGAACAGUUUCCUCCUACACUGACUGCAGCAACAUGCACCAGAGCAGUGACUGCGUCUGUGAAGCCUGUCUGUAGUCGACCUGCUCUUCUCUCUCUCUGUUUGACUGUGUAAAGCUGACAAGAAUACAAAAAGUGAGUAAGAAAAAAAUAAAUCUUAUUUUAACACCCUUGAAACGAGAUUAUCACCGUUCUUAAUACUCAACCUCUGGUUCCUUCUACACAUGAGCGGUGCCGUGAGGAGGUGACGGUGCCGUGAGGAGGUGACGGUGCUGCAGGAGCAGCAGAUCAGAGGGCUGAGGACUGGGGGAGACUCCAGAGACCGUGCUGGUCACUGCAUUGGGGCUGCAGCAGGGUCAUUACACUACCUCACCACUUGAUGGCCACUCUGCGCGUGCAGAUCUGCUCAAACCAUCGCAGCCUCACUGUGACGGCCGACCCUGGAAACUAGAGGGAUGUUCUUUCCAGUGUGUGUUGGUAUGACACGGGGCAGUUCAGCCUCUGUAGCAGCUGAAACUGUCAGGGAAAAAGUCCUGUGAAUAGAAUGCCGACCUUGACAUGUGAAUAAAAAAAAGAAAAAGAAAAUCCAACUUCUCAUCACACACCCACGGAGCCGCCUUGGUAUAACUUUAUCCUCAGAAGCCAGAAGACUUCAUAAACUAACAAGAUACUCCAAGGAUAAAAACUGUGCUGGAACACGGUGGCAGGAAAAACUCCAGCUGUAUUGAACCAUCUUCAGACUGAAGAGGAAGUCUUUGGAUAAAGCUUCACCAAAGUUGGGCGCAGCCAUUAGAAUGGCGAUGGUACAAAUGAUGUUGAAGACACUGAAUCCCACCAGACACAGGCGAUCGAUAACGGC